GUACACGCUGUGACUAGCAUAUCAAUAAGCGGAGGAAAAGAAACUAACAAGGAUUCCCCUUAGUAACGGCGAGUGAAGCGGGAAGAGCUCAAAUUUGAAAUCUUCAAGGUUUUACCUUGACGAAUUGUAGUUUAAAGAAGUGUUUUCUGCUGAAGUUUUGGUAAAAGUUCUUUGGAAUAGGACAUCAUAGAGGGUGAGAAUCCCGUAUUUGACCAUUAUUUUCAGCUUUGUGAUACACUUUCAAAGAGUCGGAUUGUUUGGGAAUGCAGUCCAAAAUGGGUGGUAAAUUUCAUCUAAAGCUAAAUAUUGGCGAGAGACCGAUAGCGAACAAGUACCGUGAGGGAAAGAUGAAAAGAACUUUGAAAAGAGAGUUAAACAGUACGUGAAAUUGUCAAAAGGGAAGCGUUUGACACCAGUGUUGUUUUCUCGAAAAUCAAUUAAAAAUGGCUCGAUUUUGUAUUGCUGAGACCUUAAAAGCUCACUGUACAUUUUUCGUGUCUUUUUUAAUGCACUUUUCGUUUAACAAGUCAGCAUCAGUUUCUUUUGUUGUAAAAGGGUCAUUGGAAGGUGGCUUUCUUUUCGGAGAAAGUGUUUAUAGCCUUUGGCCUCUGCAAUCGGAGAGACUGAGGUCUGCAGCGUAGACUCUUCGGGGUUAGAUACAUUUGUGCUAAGUUAGUAGCUUUUUAUAAACAACUUGUUGACUAUAAUUAGUCUUGUAGCUUACUCGCUUAUGCUAUUUUACCUACGCUUAGGAUGUUGAUCUACAGAGCGAGAGU
rnacentral:rRNA from 1 species